UUGCUAUCGACAAAGAAAUGGCCGUCCCUUGAUCUAUAUAAAUAGGGCUUCGGUUCCAUUCAACCACAUAACAGUUUGUGAUCUCGAACAGUGACAACGUUUUAGAUUAUUUCCUUGGAUUUGUUUACUCAGUGUUGACCAGCAACAUGAAAUUCAUGAUUUCUUCUAGUAUUUUGUUGAUCGUUUUGGCAUCAGCUCUUGCUCAAGAUUUUGAUGGAUUUGACGGUUUUGAUGCAUCUUCCUAUGCGGGUGCGAAUUUCGGCGGGCAAGAUUUAAGCGGUUUUGACAGUGGAAGUUUCGAUGGUUUUGUUGAUGGUGGAAGCUCCAUUGGAGGAAGUGAAUUUAGUGGCGCUGAUUUCAACUUGGGUCAGUUCGGUGCUGGACAGUUCGAAGGUGGAGAUUCUGAUGCUUUUAUCAACUUUCAAGGGAAAUAAAUAAAUUCAGAGCUAACGGACUUAGAUGGUCCCUGAUGUGGGCAAUGUGCAAGAUAAGCAAAGGAAAUGGAUUCGUAGUGCACGUCAACCAUCCUUUGUGAUUACAAUUCAUCCAGAUAAAAAAAAAUGCAAUUUUUUGUACUCUGUAAAUAGUUGUUGUAAUUAUGUUAUGUCAAUUAAAUAUUUUUGUUACCAUGUU